rnacentral:rRNA from 1 species
CCUACGGGCGGCAGCAGUGAGGAAUAUUGGUCAAUGGCCGGAAGGCUGAACCAGCCAUGCCGCGUGAAGGUCAGUGCCCUAUGGGCGUUAAACUUCUUUUGUGCGGGAGCAAUAAUGGUCACGUGUGGCCAGACGAGAGUACCGUACGAAUAAGCAUCGGCUAACUCCGUGCCAGCAGCCGCGGUAAUCCGGGGGAUGCAAGCGUUAUCAGGAUUUAUUGGGUUUAAAGGGUGCGUAGGCUGGGAGGUAAGUCAGCGGUGAAAUGCCCCCGCUCAACGGGGUGAAGUGCCAUUGAUACUGCCUUGCUUGAGUGCGGAUGCCGUGUGAGGAAUGUGUGGUGUAGCGGUGAAAUGCAUAGAUAUCACACAGAACACCGAGUGCGAAGGCAUCUCACGAAUCCGCGAUUGACGCUGAUGCACGAAAGCGUGGGUAUCAAACAGGAUUAGAUACCCGAGUAGUC